rnacentral:rRNA from 1 species
UCCUACGGGAGGCAGCAGUCGGGAAUUUUGCUCAAUGGGCGCAAGCCUGAAGCAGCAACGCCGCGUGAGGGAUGAAGGCCUUCGGGUUGUAAACCUCUUUUAUCAGGGACGAUUAUGACGGUACCUGAUGAAUAAGCCACGGCUAACUACGUGCCAGCAGCCGCGGUAAU